rfam:Rahnella aquatilis CIP 78.65 = ATCC 33071 plasmid pRahaq203, partial sequence.
UGUGGCCUGAGACGGGUGCCUUCGGGCGGCCACUGCCAAUGUUCCUGUGAUUUGAGAGAAACGCCUUCGGGUGAUCACAUGCCAAUACCGUUAUGACCUGAGAGACGGUGCCUUCGGGCGGUCACUGAAGCCGCAGAAAACCUCUGAAAAACGCGGCACCCACAAUCCAGUGGCUGAGGUCUAC